rnacentral:rRNA from 1 species
ACUUCGGGAAACCGGAGCUAAUACCGGAUAAUAUUUUGAACCGCAUGGUUCAAAAGUGAAAGACGGUCUUGCUGUCACUUAUAGAUGGAUCCGCGCUGCAUUAGCUAGUUGGUAAGGUAACGGCUUACCAAGGCAACGAUGCAUAGCCGACCUGAGAGGGUGAUCGGCCACACUGGAACUGAGACACGGUCCAGACUCCUACGGGAGGCAGCAGUAGGGAAUCUUCCGCAAUGGGCGAAAGCCUGACGGAGCAACGCCGCGUGAGUGAUGAAGGUCUUCGGAUCGUAAAACUCUGUUAUUAGGGAAGAACAUAUGUGUAAGUAACUGUGCACAUCUUGACGGUACCUAAUCAGAAAGCCACGGCUAACUACGUGCCAGCAGCCGCGGUAAUACGUAGGUGGCAAGCGUUAUCCGGAAUUAUUGGGCGUAAAGCGCGCGUAGGCGGUUUUUUAAGUCUGAUGUGAAAGCCCACGGCUCAACCGUGGAGGGUCAUUGGAAACUGGAAAACUUGAGUGCAGAAGAGGAAAGUGGAAUUCCAUGUGUAGCGGUGAAAUGCGCAGAGAUAUGGAGGAACACCAGUGGCGAAGGCGACUUUCUGGUCUGUAACUGACGCUGAUGUGCGAAAGCGUGGGGAUCAAACAGGAUUAGAUACCCUGGUAGUCCACGCCGUAAACGAUGAGUGCUAAGUGUUAGGGGGUUUCCGCCCCUUAGUGCUGCAGCUAACGCAUUAAGCACUCCGCCUGGGGAGUACGACCGCAAGGUUGAA